AUAAACUGCUGUGAACCUGAAGAUGUAUGGCCAGCGAACAAUUGAAUGCUUGUCAAAUGGAAAAUGGGAUCAGUUCUUUCCAAAAUGUGGAGAUGUCACAUGUCCUCUGAACACAACAGAAAACAACAUCAGAAUAGAGCGAUUUCCUGAUAUUGAGGGUCCUGUCAAACCUGGACAUUAUUUAAUAUUUUCAUGCAAUGGACAAGGACUUAUUUUAAAAGGACAGCGAGAAAUCACUGGCCAGAAAAAUGGAGAAUGAAGCAGUCCAUUUCCAAAAUGUGAAAAGAGAACUGAAUGUGGGCCACCACCACUCCAGCAAAAUGCAGACACAGUAGAAAUGCCAAAAAAAAAGAAUAUAGUUAUGAAAAUAAAGUAAAAUACAUGUGCUAUAAUAAAUUCACAAUGGAAGGCUACUUGACCUGUGUGCAAGGUGAAUGGAGAGGAUACUUUACGUGUUUGAAGCCGUGUUUGGUGACAGUGGAAGAAAUUAAUAAAAGGGGUAUAGAGUUGAAGUGGAGUGAACAGUAAAAAAUAUUCUCACCACACAUGGAUGCAGUCUCUUUGCAUGUCAGACAGGCAAAUAUAUAAAAGAUGAAACUGCCUUAAGACAAACAUGUAUAAAUGGAGUGAUGCAUCUACCUCGGUGUGCAUAAAAUCAACACUUCAUUAACAACACAAUGUACAAGUUUUUAUUUUACAAAAUAAAAAUCCUAAAGCAUUGAUGAAAUAAGUACACUACAUGUGUCUGUUGUUGGUUGGUUUCAUGCAUUUUGUAGACCCUCCACAAUAACUUGUAAAUUCGUCCUUAAAUUCCAAAAAUGGAAAUUAUGUCAAUGAGUGUUUUAAUGUGAUGUAAUAAACAUUUUAAAAUGUUUGACUCUCGGGUGUAAAUUCAG